rnacentral:rRNA from 1 species
AUAUCAAUAAGCGGAGGAAAAGAAACCAACAGGGAUUGCCCCAGUAACGGCGAGUGAAGCGGCAACAGCUCAAAUUUGAAAUCUGGCUCCUUCGGGGUCCGAGUUGUAAUUUGUAGAGGGUGUUUCGGGCGCGGCUCCGGCCUAAGUUCCUUGGAACAGGACGUCAUAGAGGGUGAGAAUCCCGUAUGCGGCCGGGGACCAACUCCAUGUGAAACCCCUUCGACGAGUCGAGUUGUUUGGGAAUGCAGCUCAAAAUGGGUGGUAAAUUUCAUCUAAAGCUAAAUACCGGCUGGAGACCGAUAGCGCACAAGUA